AUGUUCCUAAAGGGAACAUAUAACAGUUAAAAUUUCACAUUUGUAGCUGAAAACCUGCACACUGCUCCUUCCUUAAAAUCCGGAAAGCAAUUUUUAGGAUAUUUUGUGUCAUAAAAUGCAUGCCGAAUAUGAUACAGUGGAGAUAAAAAGUCUACCAGGUAAUCACAUUCAAACUUCUGUUAAAUGGGAGUCAGUGCACACUUGCCUCCAUUUAACAUGCAUCAAAUUAAUACCAGAUGAAGUUCAGCUGUUUUAGUAAGCAUUUCCUGACAGUUUUGCUUUCUAACAGAAGGCUGAGCACUGAUUGGAAUUUGUAACUGUUCGUAAUUUCCUGCCCAUUGUUCUUGCCUCCCCCACUCCUCCAUCCACCCAUCAAUCCAUCCAUCCAUCCAUUUUCUAUGUCGCUUAUCCUCAUGAGGGUCGUGGGGAGUGCUGGAGCCAAUCCCAGCUGUCAACGGGCAGGAGGCAGGGUACACCCUAAACUGGUUGCCAGCCAAUCGCAGGACACAUCGAGACACACAGCCGCACUCACAAUCACACCUAGGGGCCAUUUAGAGUGUCCAAUUAAUGUUGCUUGUUUUUGGGACAUCGGAGGAAACCAGAGUGCCCAGAGAAAACCCACGCAGGACAGGAAGUGACGUGUUUAGGAGACGCAAGAAAAGAGAGAGAGAGGAAAAAGACGGAGUCCCAAAUACAGUGGUGGUUGGAGGACAACGAAAGGACAAAGAAAGUGAACGUGGACAUAUAUCAAAAGUUGAUCAACGUGUUCGACAAGAACUGUUGAAAGUUCAACUGGGAUAGUGUGUCAUUUGAGUGGACUACUCAAAUCACGCCGUCACGUGGUGGAGUUAGCCGCUACCACAGGGGCUAAGUGCAUGCGUGGGACUUGGCUUGGGCGCUAGCAACCAGCUAAUGCUAGCUAUAGCAAGGCCUGUCUGUUGGACCAUGAGGGAGAGGACAAGGGUGCUAGCGGCGAGGUAACGAGGCUCGCGAGGCCUAUGUUUGGACUUCAAGGAAGAAAGAAAGGACGAGGACGAUGAGGACGCCGGACAGAGGAAAACCACCUUCACCUUUCUUCAUUCCUCCCUUGGGAAGCACCGCAGUGACAUUGGGGUUUGAAUUUCCUUGUCGGCUGUAUUCAUAUUUUUUUGGGCCCUUAGCUUCACAUGUGUGCAUUGUGUAACAGUUAUAUUGACUUUGUUUAUUUGACUGUUGUGUACACAUGUUUGAUUUUCCAUCCUUUAUUUUGUUAUUAAACGUUCACACUUUUUGUUCCAUAA